rnacentral:lncRNA from 1 species
UUUUUUUUCCCCUCUCUUCUGCUCUCUGUCUUGCCUUUAACCGCUACCAGCUCAGCUUGGUUUAAACACUUUUCCUGGCCAAUGCAGGACUGAGUGCCCAUCCAACUUACCCGGGGACUUAAAUGUGGGCUUCUGCAUCCGACAAAUAUGGUUGUGUCUGUGGCUCCCAAGGUCUGAGCCCAGUCUCUCUGCCAUGGGCUGUGCUGGGACAAGUGCCUGCCUCCACCUUGGCCCCGCUGGCGUCUCACUUCUCCAGUGCCCAGCCCUGCACAGGGGCUGACUUCAAAGUCCCCAAAGAACAGCCACAGUUUUAUUGCGCAUGUUUUUCUGCCAAGAGCAAGCGUAGGAGCUCAGCGAGACCAAGUGGGUUGAGGAUAGUGGCUGAUGUUCACCCACCAUCACUCUACUCCUGUUGGUAGCUGGAGGAUGGGAUCCACAGGGUGCCUCUGAUGUUACAUUAAAGGCACCAUCAUGGCCAUUUGUCUGCUCCUCCACCAAAAGGCACAACCCUGAAAAGCAUAAGAUUCCACCCAGAUCCUCAAAGCAAAUUUAAAUCGCCACGAUGAACUCUGCUGCUGUGGUUGUGUCAUUGCCUUCGGUUCUAGUAAGGAUUUAAAAGGUCAUUUUUUAGAAGCUCUUACACAGGGCUCGCUUUAGGUGGCUGGCAGCUGCUGUCCCACUGGUCUGCAGAAUUUGGGGACUGUUUAGGACAGCCCAUGUCAAAUGCAUUUGAGGAAAUCAAACUGGGUACAAGGUGCAGAUGUUUAACAGCCCAAGAAGUCUAGUAGCUGUCCUACCUCUGUCAGUCUGAAGGAAAUUCAAUACCAUGGAGUGCUUGGCUGUGCAACACCCCACCACUAACACUUUUUGUUGUUUGUUUGGUUGUUGUUUUUUUUUUUUUUUUUUUUAAUCUGAAUCACUCAGACUUUCCCUCACACUUUUCAGCUCUCCCUUUGCUUUAAUUUCACUGCAGUCAUGCAUUACACCAGUGCCACAGCUCCAUCUCUUUUCCCUUUAAUCCAAACCAAAGGUUGAAAUUUGCCUUCAAAUGAGACAAAUAAUGAUGGUUAAAAGGGCCAACAAACUGAGGCAAUGAGAGGGAAGCUGCACAGAGCCAGAAGCGAGGCAUGUGAGGGGUGUGAAGCGAUUUUGGGGGCUGGGGCUGAGCACAGCGGAUUUACACCCGGGCUCCAUGCGGCCUUUGCUUUCCAGUGAUGCUGGAAGUCGAUGGGGCGCAGGGAAAUAUUUGCUCCCCAGCUGGCGGUGAUAUUUUAAAAAGCAGCGAGAAGCAUCGAUGCAAUUAGGUAUUCCAAAGUGCUUAGUUUGCCAGUUGCUAAGUUUACUUAAACCCUCUUUAAAGGGUUCAUUAGAAGACUGUGAGGAACGGUAAAAUUCAUUAAGACGGAGGCAGCCAUUGCA